rnacentral:rRNA from 1 species
GGUUAAGUGAAUAAGGGCGCACGGUGGAUGCCUUGGCACUAGGAGCCGAUGAAGGACGGGACUAACACCGAUAUGCUUUGGGGAGCUGUAAGUAAGCUAUGAUCCAGAGAUUUCCGAAUGGGGGAACCCAAUAUCUUUUAUAGGAUAUUACUUUUCAGUGAAUACAUAGCUGAUUAGAGGUAGACGCAGAGAACUGAAACAUCUUAGUACCUGCAGGAAGAGAAAGAAAAUUCGAUUCCCUGAGUAGCGGCGAGCGAAACGGGAAGAGCCCAAACCAACAAGCUUGCUUGUUGGGGUUGUAGGACUCCAAUAUGGUAGUCUGUUAGUAUAGUUGAAGGAUUUGGAAAAUUCCGCUAAAGAGGGUGAAAGCCCCGUAAACGAAAUGCUGACAACACCUAGGAGGAUCCUGAGUACGGCGGAACACGAGAAAUUCCGUCGGAAUCCGCGGGGACCAUCCCGCAAGGCUAAAUACUCCCUAGUGACCGAUAGUGAACCAGUACCGUGAGGGAAAGGUGAAAAGCACCCCGGAAGGGGAGUGAAAUAGAUCCUGAAACCGUGUGCCUACAACAAGUCAAAGCUCGUUAAUGAGUGAUGGCGUGCCUUUUGUAGAAUGAACCGGCGAGUUACGAUUGCAUGCGAGGUUAAGUCGAAGAGACGGAGCCGCAGCGAAAGCGAGUCUGAAUAGGGCGAAUGAGUAUGUAGUCGUAGACCCGAAACCAUGUGAUCUACCCAUGUCCAGGUUGAAGGUGCGGUAAAACGCACUGGAGGACCGAACCCACGUACGUUGAAAAGUGCGGGGAUGAGGUGUGGGUAGCGGAGAAAUUCCAAACGAACUUGGAGAUAGCUGGUUCUCUCCGAAAUAGCUUUAGGGCUAGCCUCGGAAUUGAGAAUGAUGGAGGUAGAGCACUGUUUGGACUAGGGGCCCAUCUCGGGUUACCGAAUUCAGAUAAACUCCGAAUGCCAUUCAUUUAUAUCCGGGAGUCAGACUGCGAGUGAUAAGAUCCGUAGUCGAAAGGGAAACAGCCCAGACCACCAGCUAAGGUCCCAAAAUAUAUGUUAAGUGGAAAAGGAUGUGGGGUUGCACAGACAACUAGGAUGUUGGCUUAGAAGCAGCCACCAUUUAAAG